AUAUAACACUCGUGUAACACUUUAGUUUUAUGUAGCACUUAGUUGUAACAUUUUUAUAUUAGGUAGCACUUAAUUGUAACACUUUAGUUUUAUAUAUCAUUUGGUUGUAACACUUUGAUAUUAGUAGCAUUUGAUAAAAAAAAAACACAAAUACUUUUUUAUGACUUCUCUCUUUCCUCCUUUACUCUUUCUCAAAACCCGAUCUCAAAUUUCCCUCUUUUAAAAACUCAGUUUCUCACUCACCGCCUCACCAGCCACGCCGACGCCCUCCAAUGGCUAUUGAAGCUCUCACCGGCACGCCCUCCAAUGGCUAUUGAAGCUCUCACCGGCCACCCUACGUCCCCACCCACUGGCCAAAGAAGGCGGUUACCCCACGAGCACGGGGGUUGAGUGACGAAAGGGGCUUUCUGUUAGGAAACCCUAGAUAAAAAUUCAAUAGAAACUAUGAUGAUGGGUGAGAUUUUGAUAAAGAUGAUGUGAUAAAUCAAUAGCAACACCUACAUCAACAACGAGCAGCAUCAAUCAUGAAUUGUAUAAGGACAUAGGAAUAUAGGGUGGUUGAUUUUAGCGUAGAGAGAGAGAGCGGCGAGAUGAUAAAUUGGCAAAUAGCAUCGAUUCCAUCUUGGACCAGUGAGGUACAAGAACAUGAGGAGACAUUGAAAUGAAGUUUGUGAUCCAAAGAGGGGCCUCCACCAAGGUAGCCAUUGUCUCUUGGAGAUUUGGCAGCUUCAUGCUCAGGUUGACACCACGUCAAAAGCAAAUGGGCAUAAUGCGUAAGUCUGCAUGGGCUUUGGAAGAUAGUGUCUCCCACUGCUUUAACUUAAAUCCAAGCUUGUAUAAUAGUCAGGUUGAGGUGGAAAGAAUGAAAGCCAAAACACAAGAUAAGUUCAUGAACAAGCUUGCUAUUGCAAGGCACACAGCUGAAGAAAAGCGGGCGGCUGCUGAAACAAAAGUGAAUAAGCAAGCAGCAUAGACUGAGUAACAGGCUGAGUAUAUCAGAAAGAUUGGCUGACUACCUUCCAAAUUUUCGUCCUGGAGUUGCUGUUGUUAAUGUUCUGUGCUUGUCAUUCUUGUGUUCUCUCCACUUAGUGGAAAUUAGGUGGAGCCUUACUCAGUAGCUGAUUUUCACUAUUAUUCAAGAACAUGAAAAUUUCAGGCAACUUAGGCCUUUUCUAAUGAAUUCGGCUUGAACAGUUGUGAAAUGGAGGGAAAUCCCAAGAAUCCCCAUACCAAAUGAACCCAUUCACCGUCACUUCGAUACACAUUCAAUAAUGUAUGAAACUAUACUAACGUUACCAAGCAAAAUGAGUGCUUCUGUUGUUGCGUGCUGCUGCUGUUCUGCUUAUGUGCUGCUGUUGUUCUGUUUCCGAGCUGCUGCGUGCUGCUCUGUUUCCGAGCUGCUGUUGUUUUAUUUCCGGGCUGCUGCUGUUCUGUUUCCAAGAAGCUGUUGCUGUUUCAUAUAUAUAUAUAU